rnacentral:rRNA from 1 species
AUUGAACGCUGGCGGCAGGCCUAACACAUGCAAGUCGAGCGGAUGAGAAGAGCUUGCUCUUCGAUUCAGCGGCGGACGGGUGAGUAAUGCCUAGGAAUCUGCCUGGUAGUGGGGGACAACGUUUCGAAAGGAACGCUAAUACCGCAUACGUCCUACGGGAGAAAGCAGGGGACCUUCGGGCCUUGCGCUAUCAGAUGAGCCUAGGUCGGAUUAGCUAGUUGGUGAGGUAAUGGCUCACCAAGGCUACGAUCCGUAACUGGUCUGAGAGGAUGAUCAGUCACACUGGAACUGAGACACGGUCCAGACUCCUACGGGAGGCAGCAGUGGGGAAUAUUGGACAAUGGGCGAAAGCCUGAUCCAGCCAUGCCGCGUGUGUGAAGAAGGUCUUCGGAUUGUAAAGCUCUUUUGUCAGGGAAGAAACGGUGAGUUCUAAUACAGCUUGCUAAUGACGGUACCUGAAGAAUAAGCACCGGCUAAC